CCUACGGGAGGCAGCAGUGGGGGAUAUUGCACAAUGGGGGAAACCCUGAUGCAGCGACGCCGCGUGUGGGAAGACGGUCCUCUGGAUUGUAAACCACUGUCCCCAGGGACGAAAAUGACGGUACCUGGGGAGGAAGCUCCGGCAAACUACGUGCAAGCAGCCGCGGUAAUACGUAGGGCGCGAGCGUUGUCCGUAAUUACUGGGUGUAAAGGGAGCGUAGGCGGGGAUGCAAGUUGGCUGUCAAAACUACCGGCUCAACUGGUAGUCGCACGCAAAACUGCAGCGCGUGAGUGAAGUAGAGGCAGGCGGAAUUCCUAGUGUAGCGGUGAAAUGCGUAGAUAUUAGGAGGAAUACCAGUGGCGAAGGCGGCCUGCUGGGCGUUGACUGACGCUGAGGCUAGAAAGUGUGGGUAUCAAACAGGAUUAGAUACCCUUGUAGUC
rnacentral:rRNA from 1 species